AUCACCCGGGGAUCUUAUUAAAAUGCAGAUUCAGAUUCCACAGAUCUGGGGCAGGACCUGAGUUUCUGCAUUUCUAACAAGCUCCCAGGUGAUUCUCA
rnacentral:pre_miRNA from 1 species